rfam:Cajanus cajan CcLG03_982, whole genome shotgun sequence.
AGUCGUGUGAUGAAUAUAAAGUGAAUUAUAUUCUUUCGUCUUUUACUAAAGAAUACCGUGUAUCCUCACACUAUAUGGCAUAUGCUAAUUUUUGAAAGAGUCUUCCUUUCAGGUAUU